rnacentral:rRNA from 1 species
GACGAACGCUGGCGGCGUGCUUAACACAUGCAAGUCGAACGGAAAGGCCCUGCUUUUGUGGGGUGCUCGAGUGGCGAACGGGUGAGUAACACGUGAGUAACCUGCCCUUGACUUUGGGAUAACUUCAGGAAACUGGGGCUAAUACCGGAUAGGAGCUCCUGCUGCAUGGUGGGGGUUGGAAAUUUUCGGCGGUUGGGGAUGGACUCGCGGCUUAUCAGCUUGUUGGUGGGGUAGUGGCUUACCAAGGCUUUGACGGGUAGCCGGCCUGAGAGGGUGACCGGCGACAUUGGGACUGAGAUACGGCGCAGAAUACAACGGGAGGCAGCAGUGGGGAAUAUUGCAAAAUGGGCGGAAGCCUGAUGAAGAAACGCCGCGUGCGGGAUGACGGCCUUCGGGUUGUAAACAGAUUUCGCAUGUGACGAAGCGUGAGUGACGGUAAUGGGUAAAGAAGCACCGGCUAACUACGUG